rnacentral:rRNA from 1 species
AGUGAACGCUGGCGGUAGGCCUAACACAUGCAAGUCGAACGGCAGCACAGUAAGAGCUUGCUCUUACGGGUGGCGAGUGGCGGACGGGUGAGGAAUACAUCGGAAUCUACUUUUUCGUGGGGGAUAACGUAGGGAAACUUACGCUAAUACCGCAUACGACCUACGGGUGAAAGCAGGGGAUCUUCGGACCUUGCGCGAUUGAAUGAGCCGAUGUCGGAUUAGCUAGUUGGCGGGGUAAAGGCCCACCAAGGCGACGAUCCGUAGCUGGUCUGAGAGGAUGAUCAGCCACACUGGAACUGAGACACGGUCCAGACUCCUACGGGAGGCAGCAGUGGGGAAUAUUGGACAAUGGGCGCAAGCCUGAUCCAGCCAUACCGCGUGGGUGAAGAAGGCCUUCGGGUUGUAAAACCCUUUUGUUGGGAAAGAAAAGCAGCAGGUUAAUACCCCGCUGUUCUGACGGUACCCAAAGAAUAAGCACCGGCUAACUUCGCG